GCCACAUUGGGGAAUGAAAGGUUCUAACUCCUCCAGUUCUGCUGGGCCCAGCCCACAUCUGGGUGUGGGUGUUGUACCUCCCUGCUUUCCCUGCACUGAGAAGGAGAACCAGGAGAUCAUAGAUCUGGGAUCCAGGACGGCAGGGUCCAGGCUAAGAUCUGAUAGGGCAAAGAUGGGACAUUCUCCAACUCCAACCCCUUUUUGCUGCAAGCAGGCCACUCACCUAUACCAGGAAAGAUGCCAAGUCCCUAACUGCACCACCAGGCUCAAGAUAUCCAGGCCUCUCUGUUGGGUCCAUGAUUUCGAAGGAGGCCGGGGGCUGAGCUGUGGUCCACUGCAUGGUGACAGGAUCCAUACUGGUGACAAUGGGCUCUACAGACAGAAAGGUCCACAGCUACCCAAGCCAGGGUCUACAGGGCUCCCAAGCUCUGGAGGAAGACGUGAACAUGCUGUCCCUACACACUUUUAUCUUCUCAAAUUCCUAUCCUGCUCAUUUGUGUCCCAGAAAGACUCUGAACCGUAUGUGCCAUUCUCUGGAUGAAAUGAGACUUUCAUAUUUCCAGAUGUUCCUUGCUCAGCAAAACAGGAUUCUGAUUUUGGGAAAGGGGAAGGACAGAAUAAAGGCAGAACUGCUUGCUUGACACAUUUUUUUUUAAACAGACACGCUUUUGGGUAAAAAAAAAAAAAAAAAAA
rnacentral:lncRNA from 1 species